AACGUAGGGGACAAGCGUUAUCCGGAUUUACUGGGCGUAAAGCGCACGUAGGCGGUCCGUUAAGUCGAAUGUGAAAUCCCCCGGCUCAACCGGGGAAGUGCAUCCGAAACUGGCGGGCUAGAGUACGAAAGAGGGUCGCGGAAUUCCCGGUGUAGAGGUGAAAUUCGUAGAUAUCGGGAGGAACACCGGUGGCGAAGGCGGCGACCUGGGUCGAUACUGACGCUGAGGUGCGGAAAGCGUGGGGAGCAAACAGG
rnacentral:rRNA from 1 species